rnacentral:rRNA from 1 species
CGAACGGCAGCACGGGAGCAAUCCUGGUGGCGAGUGGCGAACGGGUGAGUAAUAUAUCGGAACGUGCCCAGUCGUGGGGGAUAACGCAGCGAAAGCUGUGCUAAUACCGCAUACGAUCUAUGGAUGAAAGCGGGGGAUCGCAAGACCUCGCGCGAUUGGAGCGGCCGAUAUCAGAUUAGCUAGUUGGUGGGGUAAAAGCCCACCAAGGCGACGAUCUGUAGCUGGUCUGAGAGGACGACCAGCCACACUGGAACUGAGACACGGUCCAGACUCCUACGGGAGGCAGCAGUGGGGAAUUUUGGACAAUGGGCGCAAGCCUGAUCCAGCAAUGCCGCGUGCAGGAUGAAGGCCUUCGGGUUGUAAACUGCUUUUGUACGGAACGAAACGGCGAACUCUAAUAAAGUUUGCUAAUGACGGUACCGUAAGAAUAAGCACCGGCUAACUACGUGCCAGCAGCCGCGGUAAUACGUAGGGUGCAAGCGUUAAUCGGAAUUACUGGGCGUAAAGCGUGCGCAGGCGGUUAUAUAAGACAGAUGUGAAAUCCCCGGGCUCAACCUGGGACCUGCAUUUGUGACUGUAUAGCUAGAGUACGGUAGAGGGGGAUGGAAUUCCGCGUGUAGCAGUGAAAUGCGUAGAUAUGCGGAGGAACACCGAUGGCGAAGGCAAUCCCCUGGACCUGUACUGACGCUCAUGCACGAAA